rnacentral:rRNA from 1 species
CCUACGGGUGACUGCAGUGAGGAAUAUUGGUCAAUGGCCGGGAGGCUGAACCAGCCAAGUCGCGUGAGGGAAGACGGCCCUAUGGGUUGUAAACCUCUUUUGUCAGGGAGCAAGGUGCAGGUCGGGACCUGCUGUGCGAGUACCUGAAGAAAAAGCAUCGGCUAACACCGUGCCAGCAGCCGCGGUAAGACGGAGGGUGCGAGCGUGACCCGGUUUUAUUGGGUUGAAAGGGUGUGCAGGCGGAGGCACAAGUCAGCGGUAAAAUCGCGGGGCCCAACCCCGCUCCGCCGUUGAAACUGUGUCCCUUGAGUGCGCGAAGGGUAGGCGGAAUGCGUGGUGUAGCGGUGAAAUGCAUAGAUAUCACGCAGAACUCCGGUCGCGAAGGCAGCCUACCGGCGCGCAACUGACGCUCAUGCACGAAAGCGUGGGGAUCGAACAGGAUUAGAUACCCGGGUAGUC